rnacentral:pre_miRNA from 7 species
UUACUUCAGUAAGAACUGGUGUCCAGGAAAAUGACCUAUGAAUUGACAGACUGCUUUCAAAAUGUGCCUGUCAUUUCUAUAGGCCAAUAUUCUGUGCACUUUUCCUACUUUGGCUGCCA